rnacentral:rRNA from 1 species
AACGAACGCUGGCGGCAUGCCUAACACAUGCAAGUCGAACGAGACCUUCGGGUCUAGUGGCGCACGGGUGCGUAACGCGUGGGAAUCUGCCCUCUGGUUCGGAACAACAGUUGGAAACGACUGCUAAUACCGGAUAAUGACUUCGGUCCAAAGAUUUAUCGCCUGAGGAUGAGCCCGCGUCGGAUUAGCUUGUUGGUGAGGUAAAAGCUCACCAAGGCGACGAUCCGUAGCUGGUCUGAGAGGAUGAUCAGCCACACUGGGACUGAGACACGGCCCAGACUCCUACGGGAGGCAGCAGUGGGGAAUAUUGGACAAUGGGCGAAAGCCUGAUCCAGCAAUGCCGCGUGAGUGAUGAAGGCCUUAGGGUUGUAAAGCUCUUUUACCCGGGAUGAUAAUGACAGUACCGGGAGAAUAAGCCCCGGCUAACUCCGUGCCAGCAGCCGCAGUAACAC